GCAAACUUGGUCAUUUAGAGGAAGUAAAAGUCGUAACAAGGUUUCCGUAGGUGAACCUGCGGAAGGAUCAUUACCGAGCGUGGGGUCCCCCCUGCCUCCUCCCACCCCGGGGGAGGUGGGGUUGACCCUAGACCUCCCACCCUUGUCGAUGGUACCGUGUUGCUUCGGCGGGCCCGCCAUUGGCCGCCGAGGGGCUCGUGACUCGUGAGCGUUGCCCCUGGGCCCGUGCCCGCCGGAGACCUCCCUCGAAAUGCUACUGUGGUCAGGAAUGCUGUCUGAGUCAAAAUGAUGUGAGAAAUUGAGGAGUCAAAACUUUCAACAAUGGAUCUCUUGGUUCCGGCAUCGAUGAAGAACGCAGC
rnacentral:misc_RNA from 1 species